rnacentral:rRNA from 1 species
UGGGGAAUUUUGGACAAUGGGGGAAACCCUGAUCCAGCCAUCCCGCGUGUGCGAUGAAGGCCUUCGGGUUGUAAAGCACUUUUGGCAGGAAAGAAACGUCAUGGGUUAAUACCCCGUGAAACUGACGGUACCCGCAGAAUAAGCACCGGCUAACUACGUGCCAGCAGCCGCGGUAAUACGUAGGGUGCAAGUGUUAAUCGGAAUUACUGGGCGUAAAGCGUGCGCAGGCGGUUCGGAAAGAAAGAUGUGAAAUCCCAGAGCUCAACUUUGGAACUGCAUUUUUAACUACCGGGCUAGAGUGUGUCAGAGGGAGGUGGAAUUCCGCGUGUCGCAGUGAAAUGCGUAGAUAUGCGGAAGAACACCGAUGGCGAAGGCAGCCUCCUGGGAUAACUCUGACGCUGAUGCGCGAGAGCGUGGGGAGCAAACAGG